AUUCUCUUCUCGUUUCUUCUUCAUUCUUUUUUAUUUUCUCCUUCUGCUUCUGUCCAUCGCCUCUGGCGAUUUUGUGAGAUGAUUCUGAGGUCGAAUCGAAGAGAAACUUAGGGUAAACCUUAGGAAUUGAUUACUGGCAGUGUUGCUGAUGUUUUUGAGCUCGGGAGAAGAAGGAGUGAUGUUGUUGACUCAAAUUAGGGUUCUGUUCUUGAGUUGGAAGAGAGAUUAAGAGGAGUUUUGAGUUUCUUUGGGAUGGAGAUCGAAUGGGUUGGUGUUUAAUUGAAGUUUUGAAGCUGUUAUUAUGAAGAAUCAGAACCAGUUAGUCUGUAUUAACAACGAUCGAUUCAAAGGAUGAACCAGCGAAUUGAGGAAUUCAAGGUAGGAGUGGCUUGUCAUCAAAUCAGAUUCAUCCGGUGGUGGAUCUUUCAUGGAUAUUGCCACGAUGGACGCAAUAUCUGGGGAAAAGAGUUGAAGCAAUCUUCUGCUUCGUGUUGUGUGUAAAAGUUUCCAGAAGAAAUGGUGCGCGUGAGGAUAUAUCAUUUUCUUUGCUAAAAAGCUUUAACGAUUCUAAAGAUGUUGUGUUAUGUUUUAUAUGUAUUCUUUGUUAAACUGUAAAACAACACACUAUUAUAUUCAUAUCACUC